UACGAAGGGGGCUAGCGUUGUUCGGAAUUAUUGGGUUUAAAGGGUGCGUAGGCGGCCUAUUAAGUCAGGGGUGAAAGACGGUAGCUUAACUAUCGCAGUGCCUUUGAUACUGAUGGGCUUGAAUGGACUAGAGGUAGGCGGAAUGUGACAAGUAGCGGUGAAAUGCAUAGAUAUGUCACAGAACACCAAUUGCGAAGGCAGCUUACUAUGGUUUAAUUGACGCUGAGGCACGAAAGCGUGGGGAUCAAACAGG
rnacentral:rRNA from 1 species